UCUUAAUAGCAGAGGUUGAAUUCUGAUGAGAAUCAAAUCAAUAAAUCCUUUGCCUCAGCAACCUGUGGCUCCAGUACCUUUUUUCCACCAGAAGAGAAAAUGGGAGCAUGUCCCUUAGGCGUAAGUUACAAAUCAGAGGUUGUUACAUUUGAAGGCGUGUGUUAAGUGUGGCAGCAACUGGAAACAGGUGGAAAGAGAACCCUGCGUUCUUUUGUGGAAGAUGCUGGUCUUUUGAGAUUUGCCAGGUUUGAUUUCGCUAUACCUAAAUGACUGGACAACUAUUGCGAAGCUGCCAUGACGAGAGCAGUUUUCUCCUGUAUCAGACCCUUUCACCGUGUGGUUUCUGCAUUGGAGCCUGACAAUGCAGAACUGAACUUCUGAAACUGAAUGAAUAUAGACUCCAUUUCAUUAAAAGGCUCAUUCCUUAUGCAAGUUUUCAGUAAGGACAUUGGAAAGACAAAUGGAUGAAGGAAUGCCGAUGAUGCUUCAGGAAUUCACGGAUCCUGCUGAAUGCACUGGAAACUGUUUAUCCCCCUCAACUCACGGACUCCUAGAAUCAUUACGGGAAGCCAUUCACAAACAUCUCUGGCCCACUGAGAGGUGGAGGAAAGAGGAUUGAAUUAGUUUAGAUUCGUCACUGGAGGGUUACUGAUAAACAACGUCAAACCUUGGGAAAGCCUGCAGAACUCCUCCCACUGACACAUUUGUCUGCCAGUGAAAGAUCCUAAUAAUUGUCUUCAACUUUUAGACAAACAGCAAGGUAAGAAGAAGCUUCAAAAAUAAGCCAGGAAUUAGAAGAGUGAGCAGUAGCCAAAUUCUUUACCCUCUCUUCUCAAACUAUUGAACAACUACCAUAAUGCAGAACUCCAGACACAUUGUCACUUCAUCUCUCUGAUGCUGAAAAUACUAUUUUCGUUUUCCAGAGGGAAGACGGAGGCUCAAAGUGUUUAAGGAUCUGUCCCCAUGUUCCAUGCCUAAUUAAUGGUAAAGCUGUAAUUAUUCAAAAUUGUUCAUUCAGUCCAUAUAUAUUUGUAUGUACGUAUUUCCCCAAAUGACAAUAUACUGGGAAUUAGAAGGAAAAUUUACAGAAAUAUAUCAGAGAAGUAAAAAACAACUACAAUGAACACAAAUAUUCAUUGUGCACAUCCUAGGUACUAGUACUUACAGGCUGUAGUGAGACCCAGAAGGAAAAUAAACACUCACUGGUCUCACUGAACUCUUAUAAAAUGUUUAGAAAUUUAAGUGUUUACCAGGGCCACAUAGGUAAUGCAGAUGAAGAUGGUUAAAUACUGUGUCCUUUGAACACAAACAAAUUUUGUAUGUUAAACACUUACACUCUUUUUCAAAAAACAUUUUAUUAAAACAGAAAAUUCUCUUUGGUCUA